rnacentral:lncRNA from 1 species
UUUUUUUCAUACAUGACACAAAGCAAAUUUCAAAUUUCAUUUUCCAUAUUCCCCUUUGAGUUAUUAUAAAUUAUAAUAGGGACAUUAUUCUUAACCAAUUAAGCACCAUAGUAUUUUUUAAAAAUCCCUUUCUGCUUUGUUUGGUGUUAGUGAAAUGGGGAUAAUAGCAUCUUCCAGCAAAGAAAUGAUGGAAUUAAGGUAAUGUAGGUGAGGUAUGUACAUUCCAGAAAAAAUAUACUCUAAUUUUAUUAUAUUUCUUUUCUAUAUAAAUCAAUGGGGUAACUUAAAUAGUAACUUAUUGUUAGGAAUUUUCAAACUUUUGCAUUUGCAAUUCUCAUCCCAUUACUAAUUUCUGAGGUUACAACUCUUACCUUAAUAUCUGUGGAAGUUUUGCUCUCUUGACAAGCUUGCCAAGAGCAGAUUACCCAUGCAUCAUCCAUCUAUUAGCUUUUAAAACAGAAAAGUAAAACUGGGGAAUUUCAUGCUAAAGCCGAAAGCCACUAAAGGACGCCAUGCCUUCUCUGGCUUUGAUGUAAUGAUUUUGAAAGACUCCAUGAUGAAUUUUUUUUUUAUUUUAAAAACCACACUUGGGAAGUGCCUGGGUGGCCCACUUGGUUGAGUGACCAACUCGAUCUUGGAUCAGGUCAUGAUCUCAGGGCCGUGGGAUAGAGCCCUGUGUCACACUCCACCCUGAUCGUGGAGUCCACUUGUCCCUCUCCCUCUGCUUUCUGCCCUUCCCUCCCAGCUCUCUCAAAUAAAUAAAAUCUUAAGGAAAAAAAAGGACAGCUUUUCAAAAGCAAAAAACAAACAAAAACAAAAAAACAAACAAACAAAAAAAACCCACCAUACUUGGUACAGUAAGAAGACCCUAGAGCCUGCAGAUCUGGUUCUUCUGAUCCUGCCACUUAUUAGAUGAGUGGCCAAAAAGCCUUUUGGCUUCUCUGGGCCUUAAUUUCCAUUCUGUAAAAUUUCUCAGCUCUAAUUCUGAUCCUGUGCUUACUAGUUUAUUUCUUCAAUUUCUCUAAUCAGGAAGAAAUCUGGCAGGAAAGCAAGAAUUUUACCUGUAUCAUUUUUUUUUAAGUUUUUUUUUUUUUAAGAUUUAUUUAUUUAUGAUAGACAUAGAGAGAGAGAGAGAGAGAGAGAUGGGCAGAGACACAGGAGGAGGGAGAAGCAGGCUCCAUGCCGGGAACCCGACAUGGGACUCGAUCCCGGGACUCCAGGAUCACGCCCCGGGCCAAAGGCAGGCGCUAAACCACUGAGCCACCCAGGGAUCCCCCUACCUGUAUCAUUUUAUCAGUUUUGCCAGCUCACCCAUCCUAUUUCUACUUUUUAAGCUGACCCCCUUUCCCCUGCUUCUGACCUUUUCCUCUUAAGCACUUUAUAAACACAUUACAAUAUUAACUGUAUUGUAAUUGUAAGCACUCACAAACACUUGUCGAGUGCUUUCCAAGUUUUACCAACCCCUUCUGCAAACACUCUUAUUUGAUUAUCAUAACAGCUCAGGCUGGCAUAUAUUACCUUGAUUUUACCUGGCCCAGAAGAGUUCAAUGAAUUAAUUGUCCAAAGUAACACAAAUAAUAAGAUAUGGGAACAAACCUUCUCAUUCCAACAUCUAUACUCUUUCUACAACACUACAGUUCCUACUAAGAGCAGAUCCAGAUUUUGUGCAGCCUGAGGUGUAUACAAUUUUGGUGGACAUUUUCAAGAAAAGGAAUACAGAAUUACCACAGAAGACCAAUAUGAUCCUGUGAACCCAUUGUUAGGGCCCCCUUUAGGGCCAUGGAAGGAAUCUAUUCAAAUGAAGUGCUUUUAGGAUUAACCUCUAGGAUCCAGUUUCAUGGUUUUCCAUAGUUAUACAAU